UCCUACGGGAGGCAGCAGUGGGGAAUAUUGGACAAUGGGGGCAACCCUGAUCCAGCCAUGCCGCGUGUGUGAAGAAGGCCCUCGGGUUGUAAAGCACUUUCAGCGAGGAAGAACGCCUAGCGGUUAAUACCCGCUAGGAAAGACAUCACUCGCAGAAGAAGCACCGGCUAACUCCGUGCCAGCAGCCGCGGUAAUACGGAGGGUGCAAGCGUUAAUCGGAAUUACUGGGCGUAAAGCGCGCGUAGGUGGCUUGAUAAGCCGGUUGUGAAAGCCCCGGGCUCAACCUGGGAACGGCAUCCGGAACUGUCAAGCUAGAGUGCAGGAGAGGAAGGUAGAAUUCCCGGUGUAGCGGUGAAAUGCGUAGAGAUCGGGAGGAAUACCAGUGGCGAAGGCGGCCUUCUGGACUGACACUGACACUGAGGUGCGAAAGCGUGGGUAGCAAACAGGAUUAGAUACCCUGGUAGUCCACGCCGUAAACGAUGUCGACCAGCCGUUGGUGCCUAGCGCACUUUGUGGCGAAGUUAACGCGAUAAGUCGACCGCCUGGGGAGUACGGCCGCAAGGUUAAAACUCAAAUGAAUUGACGG
rnacentral:rRNA from 1 species